AUCCCAUCAGCAACCAGACUCAACAUCUGGACAUCACUCAACUCUGUCAGACAUGUGCAGAACUCUACCAGAAAUCACAAACUGUACUGCUUACUGUACUGCUACCACUUGUUUUAGUGGUGGUCAUGAUUGCACUAGGUGUGUUCUGUUUCAGAAUGAACUUCAGAUGUGCAAGAAGAGGAGCUCUCUGAUGGAGCGGAUAAACAUUGUGCACUCAAAUGAUCUGACAAUCUAACAGACUUCAGUAGCUAUAUGACAGAUCUCUGAUACAUAUGAUGCUGUGUCUCAGCACUCCAAGAUCAUGAACAAAGUAAUUAUAUAAACAAAACUUGGUAUAGCAUGAUCAUGAUUAUAUUGGUUUUAUUGGAUAAAAACUGUGAAAAAGCUUGUGACUGCAUUGAAUUAAUGUGCAUUAAGUAUGAGAAGAAAAAUACAAGAGUAAUUGUUGUAUAUUGCAACUGUUAAGCUUUUUGUUGCUGGAACCUGAUAUAGUUUUUAUUUGCUUUUACAUAUCUAAUAACCGUUAUGUGGUCCUUUUUCUUUGACUGGAUGUCAAUGUUUUAACUGAAUAAUUUAAUCUCAUCUCUACUGAGGCCAUUGCAGACCGAUAUCAGGACAAAGAGACACAUUUUGUCAGAAACUGUCCUGUAUUUAAUUAUCCUGCCCAGACUUGAGAAAGAGCUGAUCCAUCUUUUCACAAAAGAGCUGCCAACAAAACCAAUCACUAGACUUGUGACUGUCUUGGAAAAGAACAAAUUCAUUUGUAUUACAGUGUUAACACACACAGUGUGCUCAGUUGGUGUUUAUUUUGAACAUUUGAAAAUUAUGCCUAAUAUAUACCAUAUCAGUGUUUCUGUAUUUUCAGUGUUUUAUUACACUGCCCGGUUCCUGGGGAACUUCCUGCUGAGAUUUUGAACCAGUUCAUCAAAUAUAGUUCUGGUGAUUUGGCUCAAGAACCUGUAUGUUGAAUGUUGUGUGUUCUGUAAAUAAACUUGACUGUGGACACUUA